rnacentral:rRNA from 1 species
CCGGACGGCGACCGGCGCACGGGUGAGUAACACGUAUGCGACCUGCCCGUAGCAGGGGGAUAAGCGGAAGAAAUUCCGUCUAAUACCGCGUAAUAUCUUUCGGGGGCAUUCCUGAGGGAUUAAAGGAAGCGAUUCCGGCUACGGAUGGGCAUGCGGCGCAUUAGCUAGUCGGCGGGGUAACGGCCCACCGAGGCGACGAUGCGUAGGGGUUCUGAGAGGAAGGUCCCCCACACUGGUACUGAGACACGGACCAGACUCCUACGGGAGGCAGCAG